AUGCAAGUCGAGGGGUAACAGGGUGCUUGCACCGCUGACGACCGGCGCACGGGUGCGUAACGCGUAUACAAUCUACCUUAUAGAGGGGGAUAGCCCAGAGAAAUUUGGAUUAAUACCCCAUAGUAUUAUGAAAUAGCAUUAUUUCAUACUUAAACAUUUAUGGCUAUAAGAUGAGUAUGCGUUCUAUUAGUUAGUAGGUAAGGUAACGGCUUACCUAGACAUCGAUAGAUAGGGGUCCUGAGAGGGAGAUCCCCCACACUGGUACUGAGACACGGACCAGACUCCUACGGGAGGCAGCAGUGAGGAAUAUUGGACAAUGGGCGAGAGCCUGAUCCAGCCAUGCCGCGUGCAGGAAGACGGCCCUAUGGGUUGUAAACUGCUUUUACAGAGGAAGAAACACUCCCUUGCGAGGGAGCUUGACGGUACUCUGCGAAUAAGGAUCGGCUAACUCCGUGCCAGCAGCCGCGGUAAUACGGAGGAUCCAAGCGUUAUCCGGAAUCAUUGGGUUUAAAGGGUCCGUAGGCGGGACAAUCAGUCAGCGGUGAAAGUCUGUGGCUCAACCAUAGAAUUGCCAUUGAUACUGUUGUUCUUGAAUACUUAUGAAGUGGUUGGAAUAUGUAGUGUAGCGGUGAAAUGCAUAGAUAUUACAUAGAACACCGAUUGCGAAGGCAGAUCACUAAUAAUUUAUUGACGCUGAUGGACGAAAGCGUAGGUAGCGAACAGGAUUAGAUACCCUGGUAGUCUACGCCGUAAACGAUGGUUACUAGCUGUUCGGGAGCAAUCCUGAGUGGCUAAGCGAAAGUGAUAAGUAACCCACCUGGGGAGUACGUUCGCAAGAAUGAAACUCAAAGGAAUUGACGGGGGCCCGCACAAGCGGUGGAGCAUGUGGUUUAAUUCGAUGAUACGCGAGGAACCUUACCAGGGCUUAAAUGUAGUUUGACCGAUUUGGAAACAGAUCUUUCGCAAGACAAAUUACAAGGUGCUGCAUGGUUGUCGUCAGCUCGUGCCGUGAGGUGUCAGGUUAAGUCCUAUAACGAGCGCAACCCCUGUUGUUAGUUGCCAGCGAGUCAUGUCGGGAACUCUAACAAGACUGCCAGUGCAAACUGUGAGGAAGGUGGGGAUGACGUCAAAUCAUCACGGCCCUUACGUCCUGGGCCACACACGUGCUACAAUGGUAGGGACAGAGAGCAGCCACUGCGCAAGCAGGAGCGAAUCUAUAAACCCUAUCUCAGUUCGGAUCGGAGUCUGCAACUCGACUCCGUGAAGCUGGAAUCGCUAGUAAUCGCAUAUCAGCCAUGAUGCGGUGAAUACGUUCCCGGGCCUUGUACACACCGCCCGUCAAGCCAUGGAAGCUGGAAGCACCUGAAGUCCGUCACCGCAAGGAG
rnacentral:rRNA from 1 species